rnacentral:rRNA from 1 species
UGAGCAACCUGCCCUUAGCUCUGGGAUAACCCCGGGAAACCGGGGCUAAUACCGGAUACGAGUCCGAGCGGCAUCACACGGACUGGAAAGUUUUUCGGCUAAGGAUGGGCUCGCGGCCUAUCAGCUUGUUGGUGAGGUAACGGCUCACCAAGGCUUCGACGGGUAGCCGGCCUGAGAGGGCGACCGGCCACACUGGGACUGAGAUACGGCCCAGACUCCUACGGGAGCAGCA